rnacentral:rRNA from 1 species
GAUGAACGCUGGCGGCGUGCCUAAUACAUGCAAGUCGAGCGAAUGGAUUAAGAGCUUGCUCUUAUGAAGUUAGCGGCGGACGGGUGAGUAACACGUGGGUAACCUGCCCAUAAGACUGGGAUAACUCCGGGAAACCGGGGCUAAUACCGGAUAACAUUUUGAACCGCAUGGUUCGAAAUUGAAAGGCGGCUUCGGCUGUCACUUAUGGAUGGACCCGAGUCGCAUUAGCUAGUUGGUGAGGUAACGGCUCACCAAGGCAACGAUGCGUAGCCGACCUGAGAGGGUGAUCGGCCACACUGGGACUGAGACACGGCCCAGACUCCUACGGGAGGCAGCAGUAGGGAAUCUUCCGCAAUGGACGAAAGUCUGACGGAGCAACGCCGCGUGAGUGAUGAAGGCUUUCGGGUCGUAAAACUCUGUUGUUAGGGAAGAACAAGUGCUAGUUGAAUAAGCUGGCACCUUGACGGUACCUAACCAGAAAGCCACGGCUAAUUACGUGCCAGCCGCCGCCGUAA